rnacentral:tRNA from 1 species
ACUAUUUUGGCAGAUAAAGUGCAAUAAAUUUAGAAUUUAUAAAUAUAGUUUAAUUUUACUAUAAAUAGUA